ACGGGGCCUGGAAGCUGCUCCUCACGUCAGCAACAUGUUAUUUGGCCUUGCUGAGUCCGGGAUCUGCAGCAAAAACAAAGUCCCUUCACCUCCUCCUUUCUUCUCCAGGCACCUGCGUGCUGCAUCCGCUGUGCUUUAUAUUUGGAGCUGAGUCAAACAUAAGCCUAGCCUGCUGGUGGAGAAGACUGCUAAUGAAAGAGCUUCAGCAUGGCUUUGGCAUGGUCCAAGUGAAGCCCCAAAAGAGGGUCUUCCAAGAACAGGAGAAUCACGUGUCCUUCAUUUCCUAUCAGAUCCUGGACUUACACACUGCACCACACUGGAACUGUCUUCAAUAUUUGUUUUCCUACCAGCUUCACCAGGUAACAAAGGAGAAGAAAAACCUCUGAAGGCUGCUGCCAGUCAGAGUGAGCUGUACUGGUCUCAUCUGCUAUAAGGCCACAUCUGAGACAGAACAGCUGACUUUUCAGCCUGUUUGCACCUUGAAAAACUCAAAAGCAACAUAAAUCACCAA